GCAUUGAGAGGUCAGCAAGAUUGCCUUGGCUGGGAACCAAACUCAUCCUGGUUUCCUGUCUUGGGAUCUCAAGGGGCUAGAAUGAGCUGCUAUUCCAAGGGAGAGAAGAAAGCAACCCCAGGAAGCCUGGCCCCGAAGACUGUGAGGAAACAAAGCCAACAGGAUCUGCACCACCUCUGCCUCCCGGACAUUGGAAGGACUAAAUAAGAUCAGAGACCUCAUUCCUAGAUGGAACGAGGAAUGGUAGCGACCACGAUCCUCCCCUCCCAGGAUCUGCGCCACAAGGGAAGAUCAGAACCUUCAGCUGCCAGAAGCACUGUGGCGGAAAUGUAGGUCCCCAUCCAGGCUGAUCUGAGCUUGGCUUUCUGGAGCACGCAAACCUCGAUGCACUGAACUGCUGCCGGACCUCACCUUGCCAGGCCCACUGUGCUCACACUCACACAUCGCUCCAUCCACUGGAGGCUGCAGAGGCAAGAUCCACCAAGAAGAUGGUCUUCCUGUCCAGGAUGCCCUUCCCUGAGAGAAGUGUAUUUAAUCUUAAAUUCAGAUGUUUGUUUGUCUACCCACUUAAAACACCCUGUUGAAUAAAAAUUACUCAAGGAACACAUGGAGGCUUUGUCCAUGUAAAAGAACAAA
rnacentral:lncRNA from 1 species